rnacentral:rRNA from 1 species
ACGGAGGGGGCUAGCGUUGUUCGGAAUUACUGGGCGUAAAGGGCGCGUAGGCGGUUUGGUAAGUUGGGCGUGAAAGCCCCGGGCUCAACCCGGGAAUAGCGCUUGAUACUUUGGAGCUAGAGUCCGGGAGAGGAGAGUGGAAUUCCCAGUGUAGAGGUGAAAUUCGUAGAUAUUGGGAAGAACACCGGUGGCGAAGGCGGCUCUCUGGACCGGUACUGACGCUCUGGCGCGAAAGCGUGGGGAGCAAACAG